GUACACACCGCCCGUCGCUGCCCGGGACUGAGUUGUUUCGAGAAAAAUGGGGAUUGUGACUUUGUGCUUUUUCGAAAGUGCAUUGUUGCGAGAACCGUGUUAAUCGAAACGACUUGAACCGGGCAAAAGUCGUAACAAGGUUUCCGUAGGUGAACCUGCGGAAGGAUCAUUA
rnacentral:rRNA from 1 species